rnacentral:miRNA from 1 species
UAAAUCUCCACCUCUUACCUUAUC